AGCGGAAACGAUGCCUAGCUUGCUAGGAGGCGUCGAGCGGCGGACGGGUGAGUAAUGCAUAGGAAUCUGCCCGGUAGUGGGGGAUAACUUGAGGAAACUCAAGCUAAUACCGCAUACGCCCUACGGGGGAAAGCAGGGGAUCUUCGGACCUUGCGCUAUCGGAUGAGCUUAUGUCGGAUUAGCUGGUUGGUGAGGUAACGGCUCACCAAGGCGACGAUCCGUAGCUGGUCUGAGAGGAUGAUCAGCCACAUCGGGACUGAGACACGGCCCGAACUCCUACGGGAGGCAGCAGUGGGGAAUAUUGGACAAUGGGGGCAACCCUGAUCCAGCCAUGCCGCGUGUGUGAAGAAGGCCCUCGGGUUGUAAAGCACUUUCAGCGAGGAAGAAUGCUUGUCGGUUAAUACCCGGCAAGGGAGACAUCACUCGCAGAAGAAGCACCGGCUAACUCCGUGCCAGCAGCCGCGGUAAUACGGAGGGUGCGAGCGUUAUCGGAAUUACUGGGCGUAAAGCGUGCGUAGGCGGCUUGAUAAGCCGGUUGUGAAAGCCCCGGGCUCAACCUGGGAACGGCAUCCGGAACUGUUAGGCUAGAGUGCAGGGAGGAAGGUAGAAUUCCCGGUGUAGCGGUGAAAUGCGUAGAGAUCGGGAGGAAUACCAGUGGCGAAGGCGGCCUUCUGGACUGACACUGACGCUGAGGUACG
rnacentral:rRNA from 1 species